rnacentral:lncRNA from 1 species
CGUUGCGUGGCACGGCAGGCAAGGCGCUGCUGCUGUCCAGUGCGCGCGCCCGCGGGAGGUUUCACGUGCCGCGCGCCACGUGUUGCGGCGAGACCAAUCAUAGCCCGCCUCCCCUGGGUGACACGUGGGCCACUCCCGACACGCGUCCGUUCGCACCCGCUUGCCCCCUCCGCUGUAUUAAAUGCCCCGCCCCCGCACGCUCGCCGGCGUCGCGUUCCACUUGGGGGGGCUCGCGGGGAAAGGACUCUGGUCGUCGGACGUUCGGGUUCUCGUCGAAGGAGAGGUGAGGUGAGGUGUUAGGUUGGGUGGGGUGGUUGAUGGAGAGGAAGGGAGGGUGCUGCUUGGCGCCGAGGUACGCGGGGCAGGCGGCCAUGGCGGGGCAGAUGGGGAAGAUCAUGCUCAAGUUCCGGCCGAUUGCGCCCAAGCCGGCGGCGAUGUCGCCUGCGCCCGCGCCCGCCCCG